CAAGCAUAGGUCUUUUGGUUCCACCUCAAUAGAAGUAGGACUAAUAAGCUUGGAUUACACUUUCGGUGUUCAUUCACCCACAAAUAACAGAGCGAAGUGUAAUAAGCCUAAACAAAGCAAAACAGGUUGUUUUGAGUUCCAUCUACAUAGAAAGAGGCAUCUUGGAUUUCGCUUAUUUCAAAGUCGUCUUCUUUGGUUUUAAUGCACAUUGACCAGAAAUCGCAAAGUGUAUUUAAUCAGACCAAAAUAACAAAACACCAUCUUUCCGCUUCCAUAUGCGUAGAAAGAAGAAGAAUAAGCUUUGAUUGGGCUUAUUUCAAUUCGCAUGGUGUUUUUUGGGUGUGCACCAGAAUCACCCCAACCAAAGCAAAAAGGUCUUUUGGCUUCCAUCUACAUAAAAGGAAGAUGAUAACGCUCUGAUUGGGCUUAUUUCAAAUCGGUGCUUAUGGGGUUAGAAUGCACAUGGACCCAAAAAUCGCAGAGGGAAAUUUGUUAUCAGCACAAAUCAAACAUAGGUGUUUUGGUUCCAUCUCAAUAGAAGGAGGACGUAUAAGCUUGGAUUGCACUUUCGGUGUUCAUUCACCCACAAAUAAGAAAGCGAAGUGUAAUAAGCCUACACAAAGCAAAACAGGUUGUUUUGAGUUCCAUCUACAUAGAAAGAGGCAUCUUGGAUUUCGCUUAUUUCAAAGUCGUGUUCUUUGGUUUUAAUGCACAUUGAC